rnacentral:lncRNA from 1 species
UACUCUUUGAUUUUAUUUUUUUCUUUCCUUUCCUCUAUUGUUGUCGUCGCUUACACCUAGUUUUACCAUCUGUUUUUUUAAUUUUUCUUUUUUCCACAAGAUUUGUUAACAUAAUCUCCACCAUAUUGCUGUCAUAUUUCCUCAUUAAAAUCAACCCCAAAUUUGAAGUCUUGAACUCCAAGAUCGAUCCCGAACAUUGCCAAGAAAUUGUCAUUGUCGUUUCUCUCGACUAGCUUGGGUAAGGUUUCUUCAUUCUUCAAUUUCUUAAUUAAUCUUGUCCAUUAAAAACCUAAA